AGAAUUUGAUCUUGGUCAGAACGAACGCUGGCGGCGCGUUUAAGCAUGCAAGUCGAGCGGCAAGGGCCUUCGGGCCCCUAGAGCGGCGGACGGGUGAGUAACACGUGGACAAUCUGCCCCCCGGCCCGGGAUAGCCCAGGGAAACCUGGAUUAAUACCGGAUGAGACGGGACCCGCGAUGGCGGGACCCGGGAAAGGCGCUGCGGCGCCGCCGGGGGAUGAGUCUGCGUCCCAUUAGCUAGACGGCGGGGUAACGGCCCACCGUGGCGACGAUGGGUAGCCGGCCUGAGAGGGUGGAUGGCCACAUUGGAACUGAGACACGGUCCAGACUCCUAUGGGAGGCAGCAGCUAAGAAUCUUCCGCAAUGGGCGAAAGCCUGACGGAGCGACGCCCGCGUGAACGAAGAAGGCCGUGAGGUUGUAAAGUUCUUUUCGGGAGGGGGAACAACCGUGGCAGGGAAUGGCCGCGGGAUGACGUGAAUCCCGGAAUAAGCCCCGGCUAACUACGUGCCAGCAGCGGC
rnacentral:rRNA from 1 species